CCAGCUAGCUAAUAUUUAGAUUUUUUUUUUUUUUUUUUGGCUAGAGUUAUGCUAGCUCAUGUGCAUUCCCUUUAGCGUUGCUUGCUAACUAGCUACAGAGGUUAGCUGGCUACUUAGCUACAGUAGUUAGCUACUGCCAUCAGUUGUUGUUGUGUUAUCAUAUUUUACCUACUCCACCGUUUUUAGAACCCAUAUUGGGAUUUGAAUAUAGUGCGGGAACGGACACAAUGUGGACAUGGUAGACACAUUUCAAUGUAAAUGUAGACGCAGAACGUGUUCAGAACAUCAUUUUCAGAAAACAAAAGCUGCAUGAACUGUCAAGUCUAGACGCCAGAGGAUGAUCCCAGAGUUUCCGACUUGGAAUUCCAACAUGGAUGACCAUACAAAAAACAUUUUGCCCAGUCGAAUCCUUGUAUUUUUCCAGAGUUCCAGUUGUCAAAUCAAAUUGUAUUUGUCACAUGCGCCGAAUACAAGCCCUUGAAUGCACUGAAGUCGGAUGUCGGAGAUUUCUGAGUUCCAAGUUGUCUUGAACGCAGCAUAAUUUCACAAACUACUUUGAUUUCUCUGUCUAAUCAUAGUUGACACCUAUUGUACUUUGCUCAGAGAACCUAAUUUCUACCCCUGAAAACAACUAUAUACACCGAUUUGGUUUAAAUAGACUAUGACUGAACUGUGCCUUUAGUAGACUAGUCUUGCCAUGGAAUCGCCUAGCCUAUGCUAAGUACCCACAUUAUAAUUUAUUGUACAUUCAAAAAAUAUAACCCUAGUAUAAGAACUUACAGAUUUUGAGCUAUGGGCUGCACAUGUCAGUUAUUGGGUCUAUGCCUACAACACAAGUCUUAUUAUGACUACAGUAGGCUAUUUUAAUGGGACAUGAUUGCAUGGACUUCAAUUCCUGUCCAGGGCCACUGUUGUCACAACUACACCAUUAUGAUGUCAAAAAGCUCAACACCUGUUUAUCCUUACUUUGGCUGCAUUUCAGACAGACCCUCUGUGUCCACGGAUCAGACUGUUUAGAGGGCAUAGCCUAUAACUAGGACACAAUUCUGCGCUUUUAAGUUUCCUUUUACAAACUUGAUCCAAUGUUAGAUGAAAACGCUCUAGGUCUAUUUGGCAGCUUUGUGUUAUAGUCUUUUCAACAAAACGUUUAUAAAAUGUCUACAGAUUAAAAUAUGAAGGAAGAAAAUGUAAAGCUUAAUUUUCAUGAACACUGUAUAUAUACUGUAGGCUAUGAUGAUUAUAACAACAAAAGUUGCUUAUAACAUGAAUUAUAAGAUAGUCAUCAGGAGAAAGGGAUGAAGGAGGAGGUGAAGGAAGAGAUACUCAACUAAAGGAGAAGGACAAGUCUGUCAAGGUAGGAUUGAUCCUUUGGUCAUUUCUUUUUGUUGCUCAGUUUUAAGCUAUCUUGUUUCAUUUUACAAACUUGAUUCAAUGUCAGACGAAAAAGAGGCAGUCCUAUGUCUUUCGACAGCUUCAUACAUAUAAAAAAAACUCUUACUUUCAUUUUGAUGAACACUGUAUAGGAGAAGGUGAAGAAAGAAGAGUUCAGCUGAACAAUGAGAGGAAGAUGAAGAGAAAAUCAAGUUCCAAGAAAACUUCUGAAGCAGGUCCCUCGGUGGCAUUCUGUUCACCCCGAGCUCAGUAUCCAGAUAAAUACCAAAACAGAGUGGCAGUAAUUCAACUCUUACAGGAGGAAGGAACUACGGAAGAGUCUACUUUAUCCGAGAGGACGUCUGCUUCCCAAUCCUCAUCAAUUUCAUGAGGAAUCUCACUGAUAGGCAGUGGAAGGUGAUUCAGGAGGGCAUGAGAAAUCCUGGAAUAGAGCGAAAACAGUUUUCCAUAUAGCGGAAGAAAUCCUCACCCUGACCCUUGCACAUAUAUUAGAGCUAGAUGCCGUUAAAGAAGCUAGCGCCUCUCCCUCGCUGACUGGAUCAGAGUGCGUGCAUCCAGGAACAUGUGGUGAAAUUUAAUGAAGGUCUACCUAAGAGGCCUGGCAGUGGAAAGGCCAUGUGUAGUCAACGGGUCAAGAAAUGAUCCCCGAACACAGUUACCACAACAGAGAAUUGAGGACGAGUGGCAGUGGCAGAUAAUUUUACAGCUCCCACACACCCCCUCCACGUUCUUCCACAAGUUCCCAGACGUCGUUGCAGAGGGCACAUAGAGGAGACGCUCAACUGACAGAUCCUCUUAAUGCCCUCUUUGGGAUCAAAGAUCUGUGGCCAGAGAUGUCGUGAGUCAGGUGAACUCUGACAUCGCACUGAUCAUCUCCUGUUCCAGCUCAGGUAAAUCAAGACCGGUGUUGUGUGACACCUGCAGGCGAUAUACCAUGCAGGCCGCCCAGAAGCUGGUGUCUGCUAUCUGUGCCAAGCUGUGGAGGUUUGGAGUCACUGGACAGGCUGCGCCUCAAGCCAAAACCGAUCCAUCUAAGGAGAAUGUGGACAUUGAGGCUUCCUUUGCACUGUCGACAGGAGAGGUCAUGGCUGUUAUGGUCAACUCCAGAGAAUGCCAGGAAGGAGAGUAAGGAACAAUGGAUGCGCUUUGAGAAAUCGCACAAAGUCCAUAUUUUUUUCCCGCUUCAAGGGAUAGUGUUGGUGGUCUUCUGUAAGACUCCCUAGCUGAGAAAAAAUAUCUGAAAGAGACUGUAUCCCCUGGCAGCUUGGUGAGUCAAAACAUCCUCGUACUUUCACCUUCUGAGAAAAUGUUUGGAUCUCCUGUAAUGACAACCAUUGAUAAAUUAUCCAGUGAUGAAUUGAAGUCAGAAGCUACUAAAGUUUUUAGUGAAGUCUAUCUGCACAAACGUCUGCUUGCACACCUGAGCUUUCAAGUAAUCUGGCCAGUGAAAGGAAUCUGCCAGCUAUGUCAGAAGACCAUUUAACAACUACAAUUAAUGUAGGUUCUGAAGCCUCUGAAAUGAUGGAUUCCUUUCUGAGGAGCAGGCCCAGAGUGGUUCCAGUUCUCCUCAGGCUGUGAAACAAGGCAAACUACUGUAAAUCGCUCUGGAUAAUUGAUAAAAUAUUUUAUAUGUUGAAAGAUAAUGAUUAAAUAAUUCCACU